UACGGAGGGUGCAAGCGUUAUCCGGAUUCACUGGGUUUAAAGGGUGCGUAGGCGGGCAGGUAAGUCAGUGGUGAAAUCCUUGAGCUUAACUCGAGAACUGCCAUUGAUACUAUCUGUCUUGAAUAUUGUGGAGGUAAGCGGAAUAUGUCAUGUAGCGGUGAAAUGCUUAGAUAUGACAUAGAACACCUAUUGCGAAGGCAGCUUACUAUGCAUAUAUUGACGCUGAGGCACGAAAGCGUGGGGAUCAAACAGG
rnacentral:rRNA from 1 species